GCCAGUUUGGCUCAGUGGAUAGAGCAUCAGCCUGCAGACUGAAGGGUCCCAGGUUCGAUUCCAGGCAAGGGCA
rnacentral:tRNA from 1 species